rnacentral:lncRNA from 1 species
GUCAGACCUAGGCUCUCGCAGAGAACUGCAUCGCGCUCCCAGCUCUGCUGCCUCGGUGCGGGGACGGGGCUCUGCAUGAGGACUGGGAAUGUAAGUCCCGGGCCUGGACAGGCGCCCCUGGGAGCUAGCCUGGAGGAGAUUCAGUAGAAGGCUGAGGAGUCGGCUUGGAGGGUCUCGGCAAGGCGGCGCGGAUGGAGAUGAAGCUGCGAAGAAUGCUGAGAAAGAGCGGCCGGGGGCCUUGGAGGGAAGCUAGGGAAACGCUGCGGGGGCAGCCGAGGCCGUCGGCGCCCCGGGAGAAGUGAUCUCAGAGGCAUGGUCUUAACACCGCGCACAGUUCCUUGCAAGUUGAAGAGUAGACCCAAAUGAUCAGUUCUAAAAUUCUAUUCUUAUUGAAGAUUACUGGUGGAAAUAUCAAUGCAAACAAAAUGAAAAAGUUCAACAAUGAUUAAUACUGCAUUUCAACAGAAGAAUCAAAUCAUCUUGACAAAACUUCAAUGGGCAAAAUUUGCCUUGGGGAAUUUUAUGCAGGGGAAUCCUUGGGUCUGAUGUGUGGUGGGCUUUGGAUGUGUUGUGUAGCUCAGUGUCCCUUCCUGCUACUCCUAGUCAUCUCCAGAAACUCAGACCACCCAUCUACUAAAGGCAGGUGGAUGAGCAAGGGGGCCUCGGAGGCAUUCCGGAUCACACUGAACCUGAGCCCCACCGCCUGACCCACUCAGUGUCACUGUUAACAGAAACUCGCUGCCAUCUGGCCUCAGGCCUGCCUCCUUCCUAUAGAACUUGACACUGGAAGCACCAGGCGAGCUGGACCUUCUGCUGCUACUGCACUCCCAUGAUGCAGCCUGAGAAUGAAGCCCACCAGAGUGACAGAGAGCAGACCUGAGUGGUGAGCUGGUGACACAGGGUGUGGGUGGUGUCCCUUGAGCUUCGACACCACGCCACACCUGAAACCAGCCUGACAUCCAUGAUUUUGCUUUUUUGCUUAAACCAGUCUGCGUCAUUUUCAACAAAAGAGUUCUACUAGAUAUGACAAAUUUCUCUAGAAGACCUAAGAAGUGAAAGACUUGAAGCUAUUCCAGUGGUUCAGGAACUAGGACACUGGUAGGAAACUGGAAAGAAGGCAUCAGAGUUAAGGAAAUAUUUAUGAGGUCAACUCUGGAAGUCUUGGUUACUGAGUGAAUACAGUGGCUGAGAGGAAUGGAAGCAUCCAACCAAAUAAAAAAAGAUGGUGCUGAGAUUUGGGUUAUGAGGUCAAUGACUGAAGCAAUGCGAUUAACUGAGUUAGGAGUCUCAAAUAUAGGAUGAGUGCAGAGUUGAGGAUGAAGAAUUCUGCUUUGGACACAAUGAGUGUGAGGUGCCCAAGGAUAACCCAACGGGAAGCAGUCACACCAAAGCAACAGGGUGUGCACCUGAAACUCAGAAGGGUGAUUGGGCUAUGGUGAAGAUUCCUGAUCACCCAUAAAUGAAUUCAUUAAAAGCAUGAGAGUGAGUGGAGGGGCCCCUAGAAUAUGGUGGGUGCAUGAGACUAACCCUAGAUUGGGGAUAGCUCCCUGGGAAAUCCAAGGGACAAGGUGAGGAGGAGGAGGCGGAGCCCACCAAGGAAACUAGAAAGAGACCGCUGGAGAGGUCCGAGGACAGCAAGGAGCACAGCCUUCAAGUCUGGGAGCCAACUAUCCAAGAAGAGAGUGGUUUGCUAUGGAUGCCGUGGGCCACCACGUCCCAUCUAGGAAAGCAAGUUGAGGUCUCUCUUGAAUACAUUGGGAUUGAUUACCCAGACUUUAAAGAA